AACAACACAGGCACCGGUGACUCCAAACCUGCAUCUCCCCUACGUUCCAGGCCCCAGCAUCCCACUGCAUGUUCCACAUCCCCCCCCCUUAGACAGCUCGCCUUCCCUCCCCAAACGAUUCCUUCCACAGUCUUCACUUUCUCAGAACGCGGCGCUAAACUUCUCUAAGUUGGAAGGUCAAAAACCUUGCAGCUAACUUUGAUUCCUCCCUUUGCCUCACCUCCAAUCCAUCAAGACCUUGUCACUCAGCCCACAAGCUGAAGGCCCCAUCUCCUGUCACCCAGACUACUCACCUUGUUUGGUUUUGCCUGGAUCUAUCAGUUUGGUUUUGCCUGGAUUUAUCAUGCUUUAAAUCUUUAAAAUGAAAUUAAAUCAUGAUCCCCUACAUCCAGGCUAAAACCCUCCGUGAAUUCCCAUUGCACCUAAAAUCCACACUCCCUGCUUGGCCUAGCAGGUUCUAUAUGACCUGCCCAUCUCACCAGUUUCAUCUCUCACAAGUGAUCCUUCACUCUCCAUUCUCCAGCCACAAGGCCUUUUUCUGGUUAUGGAAUAUAAUUCAUACUCUUUGUCUUUCUGAAGCCAUUCUUGAAACUCACCCCUGCAAUCUAUCUACCCUUGUCAGCACCGCCAAAAUUGAGGACACCCACGGUCGCGGUGGAGCCUGUCUGACAUGUUGAGCCAGGCAGUGGGUCGGCUGCCAGGCACAGCAGGACAACUUACUGCAUUUCAGAGGAAUGAUGGUCCACAAUUUACUGAUGAGGAAACAGAGAUUCAGAGAAGUUCUACAAUUUGCCCCAAAGCCACAUAACAUGACUAGGUGGGAACUAGAACCCAAGUCG
rnacentral:lncRNA from 1 species